rnacentral:snRNA from 1 species
GGAUGUGAGGGCGAUCUGGCUGCGACAUCUGUCACCCAUUGAUAGCCAUGGUUGAUUCAGCUGAUCUGGCUGGCAAGGCAGUGUCCCCUUCCUCUCUCACCGGUCCAUGUGCGUCCCUCCAGAAGUUGCGAGCUAGGUCCAAGAAGACCGCCUUCCCCAAUAGGUUAUAUCAGUAGCUGCACUCCCCUGCUAGAACCUCCAAACAAGCAUAAUGGUUAUGCAAAAGAGACUUUCAUUCCUGAGGCCCUCAAGUCCCAG